AACCCCACAAAACAACACAAACCCUUCUCUCUCUCUCUCUCUCUCUCUCUCUCUCUCUCUCUCUCUCGGUUUGUGAUAAAGAGGAAAAAGAUUCAAUCUUGACACUGUGUUCUAAUCCAAAACACAGGCUAGCUAGGGUAGUGUUAGAGAGGAGGAGGCAACGUCUUGGUGAAUGUUGGUUGUUGACAGAAGAUAGAGAGCACAGAUGGGGAUGUGCAGCUGAAAUUUGCAUCUCUCUCCUUUGUGCUCUCUAUGCUUCUGUCAUCACCUCAGUUCAGCCUCUCUCUCUCUCUCUCCCUCUCUGCCUCUCUCCCCCCUAAGUUUCUUCUUUCUCAACCCCCUUUAGUGCCUAGUUUAAGGUCUUUGUUGGCUUUCUUGAAUUUCUCUAUCUUCCUCAUGAGAAGGAACUGAACAGUUAUUGAAUUGUAUGCGUAAUUUUGAUUUCCCUUUCUUGUUCUUCCAAACAGCUUCUUCAUUGUCUUGCUUUGCUUCUUUGUGCAGCUAGAAUUGGAAUGGAAGGAGAACUUUAGAUAAUUUUUAUGAGGUUUUGUGAAAGAGCGCUUGGGAUCUUUGCUUCAGCUAAUGUACUUGUGUGAUGCCGCUACUUCGAGACCUGGUUAUUUGAAACAAGGUUUGUCGCGCCAGUAAAGAAGAUUCGAAACUAAUGCAUCACUGAAGCGUCGGCGCAUAAUGGACACGGACAAAAUGAUCAAAGCCACGUCUUCGGAGUUCUUUUCUUUUCGUUCUUGAUUUGCAAAAAGUGUAUUACAGUGCAAGUUGAUCUUGCUAUUGUAAUUUUUUGUCUCAAGUCUGACAGCAUCGUGUAUAAAGGCAUACAUAUUUACA